GGAAGUAAAAGUCGUAAACAAGGUCUCCGUUGGUGAACCAGCGGAGGGAUCAUUACUGAGAGAGUUUGCGAGAACUCCCCCAAACCCACUGUGAACGUACCUGUUAGUUUGCUUCGGCAGGCGGUCCCCGGGGGGACCUCCAGCCCGCCUCCGGGCGGGUGCCUGCCGCGAGGCCACUACAAACUCUGCUAUACCAAUCGUCUGAGAACAAGAAGCCCGCUGAGAAGCAGGGCAAAUCUAGUUAAAACUUUCAACAACGGAUCUCUUGGUUCUG
rnacentral:misc_RNA from 1 species